UUUAAUGAGAGUUUGAUCCUGGCUCAGGACGAACGCUGGCGGCGUGCCUAAUACAUGCAAGUAGAACGCUGAGGUUUGGUGUUUACACUAGACUGAUGAGUUGCGAACGGGUGAGUAACGCGUAGGUAACCUGCCUCAUAGCGGGGGAUAACUAUUGGAAACGAUAGCUAAUACCGCAUAAGAGUAAUUAACACAUGUUAGUUAUUUAAAAGGAGCAAUUGCUUCACUGUGAGAUGGACCUGCGUUGUAUUAGCUAGUUGGUGAGGUAAAGG
rnacentral:rRNA from 1 species